UUUUGGUAUUCGGAUUUGUAGGAUUACAUUAAAAGUGUCAGCUAGCUAUAUUGUCCCAACACAACAAGACAGCAAAAAUAUUUUGCUUUUUACUCUUCUCUUUUCUAUUAUUUCUUUAAUUUUUUCAAUUUAUUAUAAAAUAUUAAUUAUUUUUCAUACACAUCAACUUCAAAAUUCGCAUAUGUAAUCGAAAACGUACCAAAAGCUGAUUAUCUGUUACAGUUACUAUACCAUGGCUUGCCUUCUGGUCUAGUCCAAUUCCUUUCCCCGUUUACCUUUCCAAAACCCUUUUAAAACGUAACCAACUUUUUCACAGGUUUCACUGGUCUUUUCUUAGUAGGCGCUGCAACCGUUUUGGCGUAUUCAUGAUAUACGUCUUCAUCAGCUCCAGUGGUACCAGCGACACCAACAACAUGGCCAAAGGAAACAUCAUCCUUGUUCACUUGAUCACAAUCCUUUGCUAAAUGAUGUACAGAGGAACAAAAUUUACAACAACCACCUUUGGGGUACAACCCUUUGGGGUUCUGUUCACAUUGUCCCGACAAGUGACCAUUUUCAUGGCAAAUGAAGCAUUUAGCAAACUUCAAUGGUCCUUUUUUAGAGCAGGCAUUUAGAGAAUGCUCUUUGCUACCACAACGAAAACAUAUUGAAACAUUAUCCUUAGCCUCUGGGCAGUCUUGUACAAUGUGUCCCUGUUGCCGGCAGGCAAAGCAAAAUUUGUCUCUAUUUCUUUGGUUGAUUCUUCGAAGUCUUCGAUACUCAGAGCGCUUCUUUUUCUGACGCUCAUCAUAUCUUUUCGACGAACCAAAAGAUGCUUUCAUAUUAUCUUGAGAAGAUGAUUCUUCAUUUGUAUUGGAGGAAUUCUUGGGUUGUUCCAAAACUUUUGACUCGUAUGGCGUAGCUUCGAGGAAUCGUUUCCUUUUACCCAUGUUUGUUAUUCGUGCCAUUUUUUUUAAUUCUUAUGCCAAUGAACGAUUACACCAAAGAAAUGCCAGAAAAGAGUAUUUUCUAUAAUUAAAAUUGUUUAAAAAAUGAAUCCAACAAGGAAAUAGACUUUUAGAAUUAUACAAUCCACAGACAAUUCUAAUUGAAAAGUUUUCCUAAAUCUCUAGCCUUUCUGUACCUGAAGACGAACACUUUCACCAAAUAUAAAUUAUACUGGUACGCAUGUACUAAAAUGAAAUAUUCACUUCUUUAAAAAGUCGAACAGUCCUCUCUAUUUGGUUUAUGGUAGAAGGUUUGUUGUGUCUUUCAGUUAUAAAAAAAUUUCCUAAAUUUCUACACUUAAGCCAUUAGGUUUAAGGUGUGAUUGUUAAGCGAGCAAGCGAAAUUUUUAUAAUUACGAUGUUAAGUGAUGCAUUUUCAUGUGUAUAAUAAAAUACAUUGUUGCUACAUGUUUCUGCUUUUGACUAAUAUGUCAAUGGCGGACAAGACAUGCAGGGACAAGCAGCAUGGAGUUCUUUGGACUUGUGUUUGAGCCUUUUAGAAACCUUUGAUCAUUCAGAUAAUACGGGUGUACCAAUGACCACCAUUUCCUUCUUUUUUUAGUGAAAUAAUUGAAAUCAAAUUAUCGUCGCGAUCACGUCCUUUAUGCUGUGCAUCCGAAAAUGAAAACCCCAAGCCUAUUAAAUUGCUACUACACUACUAGUAUGCAUUAGCAAACAAGUUGUUAACUGUUGAUACAUUUUGGUUUGUGUACAUUUCAAUCAAGCAACUUAUUUCGCCGAUGACUUAGGAUUUUUAUUGAAUUUUUGGAUCUAUGUAGCGACAGUAUAUAUGAUGCCAAUUACAGCGCACCAUAUAUUCCAACAAAUUGCGUUUGGGUGAAGAGUCAAAUAGAAGACAAACACACUAUAGGACUAGGAAAUCUGUUUUGGCUAAAGUUGGCAAAUAUGUGAUAGUCUUUUGAGUCAUUUGGACCAAAUGCAAACUAUCGUAAGUAGAUCAUCAUCUACUUAUUCGUUUCAUUCUAGAAUCUUUGAUUUAGAAGCGAUAUCUAAUAUUGGUUUAUAGUUGGUUGCCGCAUUGCACAAAUUGAGCUAAAGGAUGCACCCGUUCCAAUUGAAAUUUAUAACAUCCGGAAUUAUCCUUUGCAUUUCUCCAAUUUUGAAGGAUUCACAUGUUGCAUCUUCUGAAAAGAAAGGAGAAAAGAGAUAUCAACCGUAGAGAAACAGAUGCGGAUGAUUUGAUAUUGUAAACUAAAUAAAAAUGCUUUCACGCAUAGUGUAUACUUUAAACUCACCUAGACAGUAACGUGGAUUAGGAUAGUCCAAUUACAAUUUCUGUUAUAUCUUCACAUGCAUAUGUUUUAACGCCUACUGUUAAAAGUAGGAUUCUGUCUUAAAAAAUCAAAAACCCGAUUGAAGAGAUAUUUCUUUACUUCGAUUUGUACAGUCACUUUCAAUGGAUAAAAUUUUGACUAAAAGAGAAAUCUUUUUAUUAAUCAAUCAGUUAUGACUCCGUA